AGAAUCCAUUAAAAGGCGGGAGAGAAAAUAGUAAUGGUUUGAAGUGGGGGCUCGUCAAUUUCCCGUCGAUUGGAGACAACUCAAUUCAAUCACCUUCAAGAAAUGAGCAUUUUCAACGACACCUGGGGUGUUGAAAGUAUUUGCACGUGCUCCCAUGGCAAUUACCAGAGCAGUUGCUUCUUAAUGAUAAAGAGAAAGGAAAACUUUAGUUUAUAUGUGUGGAUGUCAUAUGUGUAAGCAAUCAAUGAAUAG